AUUGAAACACCAGCACCCAUACAAUUACUGAAGUUAAGCAACAUUGAGCCUGGUCAGUACCUAGAUGGAUGACUGCUUGGAAAUAACAGGUGCUGUGAG